rnacentral:rRNA from 1 species
AUGAGUAAUGCAACCUUCUCUAUAUGUUCAUGGAAUGUACAUGGUCUUGGUGACCAAGAUAAAUGCUCCGACGUCCUCUCUGAACUAAUCUCUAUCAAUCCACAUAUCGCCUUACUACAAGAAUCCAAACUCGACACACUACCGGACCCAAAAAUAUGCUCAUUCAUGCCCCGCCAGCUUGAUCAAGUUUUUACCUUACCUACUAUAGGCACUGCAGGUGGCACCAUCUCUGCCGUUAACACGGCCUUGUUCCAAGUAAUAUCCUUCUCUUAUCUCUCCUUCUCCUCAACUCUGACACUGCGAUCAACGACAACUGACAGUAACAUAGCCAUCACUAACAUCUACGCCCCCUCCUCGCGCGCUCUCAAGCAACAAUUCUUUGAUGAACUUUUAGCUAUCACCCAACCAGAUGAUUCGCCUUGGUUACUAGUCGGUGAUUUCAACCUCCUAUGGUUUCCCGCAGACAAAAACAACGAUGCUUUCAGACGCUCAGAGGCCAACACUUUCAACCAAACAAUCGAUACUCUUCCCCUCAUCGAGCUGCCUCUUCUAGACCGCCAAUUCACUUGGUCUAACAACAGAACCACACCCACCCUAGAAUGCAUUGACUGCGCUUUUUUCAACUUAGCCUGGGCUAAUGCCUUCUCCAACUCCUCACUCACAUCCCUCACACGCUUCACGUCUGAUCACGUCCCCCUCAUCAUCCACGUCACCACAACAAUCCCGCGCUCAAACUUUUUUAAAUUCGAAUCUGCUUGGGCCAAAUUACAGCCCUGCCGAGAUAUCAUCUCCUCGGUAUGGGCCUCACCUCAGCCCAAUUCCCCGCCCAAUUCUGCCGCCUCCCUCGCCACCUUGCUCAAGCAAACCCGGGCCGUGCUUAAAAAAUGGGCCCGUUCGCGCCUUCCAGCCCCCCUCCGCGAAUCUCGCUGCAAAAUUGCCGUCUCUGCACUUGAUCGUGUCGAAGAAUCUAGGCCUCUCUCCCCACCAGAGCAUCUCACACGUAAGAUCAUCGUGUCUCUCCUCAAAAGCACCAUUCUAGAGAAAAUGUCCUACUGGAAAUGGCACGCCAAAGUGUUCUGA